rnacentral:rRNA from 1 species
GACGAACGCUGGCGGCGUGCUUAACACAUGCAAGUCGAACGGAAAGGCCCCUUUGGGGGUACUCGAGUGGCGAACGGGUGAGUAACACGUGAGUAACCUGCCCUUGACUUCGGGAUAACUUCAGGAAACUGGGGCUAAUACCGGAUAGGAAUCCUUGCUGCAUGGUGGGGGUUGGAAAGCUUCGGCGGUUUUGGAUGGACUCGCGGCUUAUUAGCUUGUUGGUGGGGUAGUGGCUUACCAAGGCUUUGACGGGUAGCCGGCCUGAGAGGGCGACCGGCCACAUUGGGACUGAGAUACGGCCCAGACUCCUACGGGAGGCAGCAGUGGGGAAUAUUGCACAAUGGGCGGAAGCCUGAUGCAGCAACGCCGCGUGCGGGAUGACGGCCUUCGGGUUGGAAACCGCUUUCAGCAGGGGCGAAGCUUGUGGUGACGGUACCUGCAGAAGAAGCACCGGCUAACUACGUG